rnacentral:tRNA from 1 species
CAUUAGAUGGCUGAAAGAAAGUAAUGGUCUCUUAAACCAAUUCAUAGUAAUUAACGACUACUUCUAAUGA